CAGAACUCAGCAGCCAGCAAGCAUAUGCUUUGCUUCAUAGGAAAAGCCUAUUGACAAUGUAUAAGAUAAAUUCAUACCCAAAAAGUGCCCAAAACCCACCUAAACCAAGAAAAAUGCUGCUUCAAUGUAGGUUAAAUCAGGGUUUUAAUGACUGAGACUACCCAGGGUCUUGGCUCUGCUUGUAUCAUAAUUUUCUUUUUGGGUCAAAGAUCUCAUUAUUUGGUAUUCACAUUGAAUCCCGAUUAUUUUAAAGUCAAACCAGGUUGAACAUCAUUUACUUUUUUCCGUUCACAAUAUUC
rnacentral:lncRNA from 1 species